rnacentral:rRNA from 1 species
CCAGCUCUAAUAGCAUAUAUUAAAGUUGUUGCAGUUAAAAAGCUCGUAGUCGGAUUUUGGGCGCGUGUGGGCUGUCGGCCUCUGGUCGGACGGCAUGCGCGUGCCUUUCUGCUUGGGAGCCCCAUGGCGGUUCACGCCGUCGUGGUGGGUCACAGGCCGUUUACUUUGAAAAAAUUAGAGUGUUCAAAGCAGGCUAUUGCUUGAAUAGAUUAGCAUGGAAUAAUGGAAUAGGACCUUGGUGCUAUUUCGUUGGUUAUGGGACUGGGGUAAUGAUUAAUAGGGACAGUUGGGGCCGUUCAUAUUUCGUUGUCAGAGGUGAAAUUCUUGGAUUUACGAACGAUGAACUUGUGCGAAAGCAUUCGGCAAGGAUGUUUUCA